AACAGGCCAGGGGAAGAACUUCAAUGGAAUCUGCCUGUCAGUGCCAGCAGGCCUGGACUAGGUGACAACAGUGGCCACGAGCAAUAUCUCAGUCUCCAGAGAGGUCUGUCCUCUCACCAAGAUGCACCCAGAGCCUACCACAUGAGUCUCUUUUCACCAAAGGACUGUCAGCUUUCUCUCUGGUGAUUUUAGCUUGCUGAGAUCGUGGUCAUGAGGAGAGAGUGCUAAAAAAUCUUAGCCUCAAGAGGAAAAAGAAGAUCUUCAAAAAGUUAAACAUGAAAUUACCACAUGACCCAGCAAUUCUACUUACAAGCCCUUUUCCUCUAGUGGCAAGCGGAAUGCUGGCAGUUUCAGGGAUACAGCCUACUUUCUCUGCUACCCCAAAGAAGACAGAUGUCCCUCCAGCAAAAUCUAAAACAAGCUCGAAUUUGCUCUGACUGGGCCAUGUGCUCAUUCUGGACCAAUCAGGAAGUCAGAGGAUAGUCAUGAGCCCCAGAGAAUCAGAAAGUAGAUCCUGGACACAUAAGUGGAUGGAAAGGAAAGCCUAUCUCCAACUUCCCCACUCAAGUAUUACUAAAAGAACGGAACAGUUCAGUAUUUCUCCCUGCACCAAGAUAAUGGACAAGCCCUCCUAUAUAGAACUCAAAUAAGAAUGGAUCUGUAAAAAGAGAGGAGGGGCAUAAUAACAGUUUCCACCUUGUAUGGUUUUAAUGAAGAUCAAAUGAUACAAUACAUACAAAAGCAAAGAUACUUAAAAGCAUUAUGGAAACACAGUUUUUUCUUGUCAUCACUCAUUUGGCUUCUCUAAUGAAUUAGUUUGUUUUGCUGCUUUUGCUCCAAGUAAACUGAAAAAUCCCGGAACGGUAGUUAGAUUGUGAAUUGUGCUGCUUUGUUGCUCUUUGUUUUCUGUGAGCCUUUAGCACUGUGCUUUAUAUUAUAGGUUCACAGUUUGUAUUUGCUGACUUAUCCUAGUAAAUCUUUAAAUGUUUUUGAUGGCAAAAUAUCUUGGAACCUAAAUAAAUUAGAGAAAUGUGAAGGAAAACUUUGACUUCAGCUGUCACUCCUAUGAUACUGAGUCAUAUUAUAAAAUGUUCAUGGCAAGUCUCUUUGACAUUGUCAAGGAAAUAAACAUAGUGUUAGCAUAAAAUCAUUUCUGGUUUAUGAAGAAUGAUACCUCAUUAUAAAAUCCAUUUCUAAGUUACUAAGUAAGCUUGUUUUAAAUUUCUUUCUUGAAAGGGUCUAAGAGACAUCAUUUGCUGGCAAAGUACAAGUUUAUAAACAGUUUUAUCUCAUCUCGUUGCAUUAAUGACAAGGAGUUAGAAGGUAAUUUUUACAGUUUAACUCAAAGCAUUUAAAAAUUUAAUCAGAAGUCAAUUUUUAAUUUUCAAUGAGAAUAAGACAAAAAUAGACAUGGGUUCAUAAUUCUAAGCCCAAGGUCUUCUAUAGAAUUAAUGAUGAGUGAUUUGAUUUUGAAUGCAUUUAGACUACCAAUUUAGCUUUGUACUAAUAAGUAGGCUACAUUAAAAACACAUUCUAAUUGUGUCUGGGGGAGAAGGAUGAUAUAACUGCUAUUUUUUCUUUCGGAGUGAUGGAUUCUCAGGCUGUGAUAAACAUGGCUAAUGAAACUACCAUGAAGAAAGUAUAAGAACAUAAUGAAAUACAACACAGAAGCUUUGUGCUAAAUCGGUUUUUAGGUGAGAAGCACAACAAUAAUGAAUGAAGAGGUUAUGGAGAGGUUAUAAAAGAGGUUAUAUAAAGAGGUUAAAAAUGUUAUGAAGAGGUUAUAAAAAUAUGACAGGAAAAUAUAUGAAAGAAGGAAUUUCCUAAGUAUGUUCUUCAACUGAAAUCUACUUUUGUCGAUUAAUUGACUAUAUCAACUGGCCUACAUGAAUAACAUUUUUAUUGGUACUUUUUCAUUUAUUAUAUUAUUAUUUAUAUAAGAUGUGAUUAAUAUGUGUUAUGAACUAUGCUGUGAAAGAGUAAUAUGAAGGAAAAUUAGAGUUUUUGAGGAGAUACACAUAAUUAAAGACAGAUAUAAGCAAAUAUUUAUAAUAAAAUAAGAGAGAUUUGCACCAGGUGCUAUGAGAGAAUGGAGGAAAAAGCACCUCCCCAUCCCCUACCCCUGAGACAACUGGAAAGUCUUCACACACAAGAAACCUUACAAAAUUAAUAGGAAAUUUCCAAAGAGUGAAAUGAAAUUAGAGAGUGAGUCAGAGACACCAGAAAAAAUUGAGAUAUAGGAUGCGAUAAUAGGCAGUUUGAAUUCUUACAUUCUAUGUUACUAAUUUGAAGAUGAUGCCAUAGUGAGUGAAAAUUUAUGGAAUGUUUAUAAAUAGAGAAACAAUACAAUUACACUUUUAAAGUCACUCUGUGGUUUGUGUGGAGUAAGCUUAGAAUGGAGAGAUGAUGUGGAUUGAAUGGAAAUAGUGGCAACUCAGGGAAUGGAUCAAUGAUAUACGUCAUAGCAUGCUAGGUGUUGUAACACAUAUAUCCAAUGAUAUUUUAUUUCUUGUGGCUAUCCCACAAGGGGGACUUUGGAAGUAGAGGAUGCUUCCAUCUUGUGCUACCACUAUCUUGAAUGCACAAUCUCAGACCAUAGCUGAAAAGCAAGAGAGAGCUCCAUGACACUCUCAGAAGAGAUAUUAACAGCCAGGUCUGGAAGUGGUGUUUGUCAUUUUCUCCCACUUUCCCUUAGACAGAACUGUUCAUGUGAAAGUUAACUGCAAAAAAGGCUUGCAAAUAGAAUUUUCCUGUGUGCCAAGGAAAAGGAAACAUAUUUGAUGAAUAUUUAACCAUUUUCUAACACAGUCUACUCUUGAUUAUUAAAUAUAAAAUUUACUUGUCCCUUUUCACAUACAAUAUACAUUCUCAUUUCCUCCCCAAAGGGGGAACACCAAGUUCUGUGGACUGACUGCAAGUUCAAAGAGCUAUGCUUUUUGUUAAGGUGCAGUCCUGUCCAAUAGUCCACUUAUGAUUUCUUUUGUAUUGGGAACCUAUGAACUAAAGAAACAAGUUCUUUGGCUACCUUCAGACACACACACACGCGCGCGCGCGCACGCGCGUGCGCGCACUGCCCAAUAGUGGAACAUAGAAAGAACAAAAUUUCCCACUCAGAAAGGGGAAGAACAGAAAACACACAGUGGACACUUGCCCACUGCAAUUCCGAAAAUCCGCUGGGAAGACUUUGUGAAGGUCCCUUACCCUGAGCAUGUGGGGGUCGGGGUUACCUGGAUUAGGCUCUAAUUCAUCUCCCAAGAAGGAAUUAUUUUAUCCGUUUUCUCCAUGGCCCCUUGAUCCACCCAUUUGGAGACUCCUACUAGUCCAUUAUUUUCCUUGGCUACAUCUGAAGUGAGUGUUAGAGAGAAUACCUUUGAGACUAUACAGCCUUCAAAGUCUGCCUCAUGCUGGUAGAAAAUGGAGGGUUCAAGGUCUUAUUAUUAUUCAUUUGUUGGUUUUAAGUCUGAAGCAGUCAAAGCCU
ensembl:lncRNA